UAAACUGGAACUCCUUGCUGUAAUCCAUUAUAUAACUUUAUGAGUAUGCACCACUUCCAGGUUAUGAAAAAAUGGGGUGCUCCAAACAAGAUUGACUUCCUCUCUCUUUCUUAUACAAGGCAUGCAGAAGAUGUGCGGCAAGUAAGUAACUCAUUGCGUGGAUAUUUAGAGUGUACUACUUCACAGUGCCAUCUUUCCCAACAGAUUGAUUUUUUUUUGUAUUUAUAUUUUGUUGAAUAGUAUCACAUGUUUGUUUGCAUUUCAUACUUUGGAAAAAUGUUCCUAACAUUGAUGGUAUUUUUCCUGCAAUACAGGCACGGGAGUUCCUCUCUAAGUUAGGUGAUCUUAGCCAAACUCUGAUUUUUGCCAAAAUUGAGAAUGUGGAGGUAAUUUCAAGAUAUCCUUUCAACAUUCCUGAGCAACUUUGAUUUGGUUACUACAUAUUCACUCCUUACAAUAGUCAUUUAACAUUCCCGAGCAACUUCGAUAUGAUUACCACCUAUUGACUCCUUAUUCCUUGCAGGGCUUGAACCAUUUUGAUGAGAUCCUGGAGGAAGCGGAUGGUAUCAUUCUGUCAAGAGGGAACCUUGGAAUUGAUCUUCCACCUGAAAAGGUUGGCUAUCUCAACCUUCACAAUGCAUUAUCUCUUAACUUGUUGUUUUAGGUAGCGAAAAAUUAGAGACAAUCACCCCAAUGCAUUGUUUCUCAAGGGUCAUAUCUAAAUGAUAUUGCAUUUAAUUAGUUUAUGAAUCUUUUUUACAUCUCAACAUUGUGGCCUAGUUGUGGAGAAAAGGAAAGAAGAGGCAAAUAGGGCGAUAAGCCACAAAGGAUCAGACCAUUAGUUACACUGCACAGGAAAACGAGCUAAGAGCUGUAUCUAUAUCAACAUACAGCUCCACUCUCGUUCUUUUUUAAUUACAGAGCCAAGUAUUGUGAAUGCCCUUGGCAGUUGUGAAGGCCUUUUGCUUGAUUAACAUGUAUUUUUCCCAUUUGCAUGACGCUUAGUGAUGAUUUUGUGUGCUUCAGUUAGAUUUGCUUUAAAAAAAUCAAGGGUCUCUAUUGAGUACUACUUUGUUUGUUCUUUAGGUGUUCUUAUUUCAGAAGUCUGCUCUGCACAAGUGCAACAUGGCUGGAAAGCCUGCUGUUGUUACUCGUGUUGUGGACAGUAUGACGGACAACCUAAGGCCUACUCGUGCGGAGGCAACUGAUGUGGCAAAUGCGGUGCUGGACGGUUAGUUUUUGCCUCUUGCAGAUAUCUUAUACUUUGGUGAUCCUGUACAGCUGCUCAUUACUGCACCCAAACAAACUAUAAUUACACAAGCUGUAACAUGAAUAACAAUCGUUUUGUUCAGGUAGUGAUGCCAUUCUCCUUGGUGCUGAGACUCUCCGUGGGUUGUAUCCAGUCGAGACUAUUUCAACAGUGGGCAGAAUUUGUGCUGAGGUGACUUUCUUUGGAGUUCUAUGUUCUCUUGAUAAACACGGCCUGUUUGGGAGGGCAUUUGUUGAUAAGUUCCUUUCUAUAGUUCAAAUCUGACUUCAAUAGUAAAUGUUGCAAAUAAAUACUUUCUUCCGAACAGCCCCUAAAUGCGCUCUCAACAAGUAUAUCUUUGGUACUCUAAUGGAAAUUCACUGCUUCCUGCCUUCUCUCUUCAUAUUUGGUGAUAUAUUUUCAUGAAUUGUUUCACAGGCUGAGAAGGUCUUCAACCAAGAUUUGUAUUUCAAGCGAACCGUGAAAUAUGUGGGAGAACCCAUGACCCACUUGGAGUCUAUUGCUUCCUCUGCAGUGCGUAUUUUGUUUCUUUUCAUUUUCCAACCUUUUUUAGUGUUAGGGGAACAAUUUCUGUCUUCCAUUGAUUUAAUAUCAGUCUGUGACACUUGGGUUUAUAAGUCUGAAAUAAUUUGCUACGUAUUUGCUAGGUGCGGGCUGCUAUUAAAGUUAAGGCUUCGGUCAUCAUUUGCUUCACUUCAUCUGGACGGGCUGCAAGGUAGAAAGAUAAGAGUAUUUCUUCUUAACAGGCUUCUAGUUUAAUGGCAGUUGAUUCAUAUAUUAUGUCGUAUCUGGUAUCUGCAGGCUAAUUGCCAAGUACAGGCCCACCAUGCCUGUCCUGUCCGUUGUCAUUCCUCGUCUGAAAACAAAUCAAUUGAAGUGGAGCUUCACAGGUGCAUUUGAGGUAUGUUUACAGCCUUUUUCCUUGUAACCUUUUUGCUACCUUCUUCUGUAUGUGCUAUAUCUAGGUAAUGAUUCAGAACUAGCAUGCUGUUCUUCAACCUUAGAAAGAUAACUUUAGGCUAUAGUUUUUGUUAAUGACAAAUCUAACAUUGAACCUUGCGCAAUUGUGCAACUCAAUACAGAGGAACUAUAUAUAAGUAUUUGCCAUGUAAUGCUAGAAAAGGGCACUUCGUUUCUAGAUCCUUAUUUUCUCUUGGCAGAAGAUUGCUGUGUGUAUUGGUCCUUUAUUUUUACAUGGUGCAUAAUUUCUACUACCUCCGUUUCAGUUUAUGUAUUUCUAGAUCAUCUGUUUGACCAAUGAAAUAUGUAUUAUGCUGAAGUAUACAAUCAAAAAUUGUAUUUGAAACAGGCUUUGUCAUGGUCAAAUCGAUUAUCUGAAAAUACUUUUGUGCCUAACAGAACGAAAAAUUGGGAGUAUAACUAGACUGCUAAUUAACAUGUUCUGUAGAAUUUUCCCUAAUGAGGAACAGCAUGUUCAGCUAGACUCACUAAUUAACAUGUAUACUACCAUAUAAUUUUCUCUGAUAAGAAACAGUAAACCUCUGUGUUUGGCUCAUAUUUGUUGCAUUAUCUUCCUGCAGGCAAGACAAUCACUCAUAGUUAGAGGCCUCUUUCCCAUGCUUGCUGAUCCACGUCAUCCGGUGAGUUAACCUGCCUUUGUUGGAUACAUUAAUAUAAGCAUAUAUUUUGCAAACCAUUCUUUGGUUGUUCUUCUCAAUUUUUUAUAAUAAUAUGAAAAUAGGAACUACCUAUGAAUAUGAACGCGCCCUUGUUCUGGACGUAAAAGGGAAUGGACGUAAAAGGGAACAUAAUGUCAGUUGGCGUUGGUGCAUAUUCCAAAUAUUUGAAAACUGAAUGCUUUACAUACACUAGGCCAGUUAACUUAUUAAUCCUUACUCUUAACAAAUUAGCUAUUACGGUAACGCUAGACUGCAGUUCACUUUCGAACUUGACUGGUGGUAUGCUGGUUUGUUGACUCUUCUGUACUGUAAACGCAAUACGUGAGCUUAUAAGCUGGUGUGCACCAGUGAUGCUGAUGUUUGGAGGUCUUUCAUCUUGCAUCCACCUUGAAUUAUUUGGUAGCUAGAAUUCCUUGAUUUGGACCCAACUAGGAACAUGCUCGGUCUGGCUGGUGAUUUGUACUGACAUUGUUUCUCUGCCCUGCAGGCUGAAUCUACUAGCACUACAAAUGAAUCAGUGUUGAAGGUUGCUCUUGACCACGGCAAAGCAUCUGGUGUGAUCAAGUCGCAUGACCGUGUCGUCGUGUGCCAGAAAGUGGGAGAUUCCUCUGUCGUGAAGAUCAUUGAGCUAGACGACUAGGCAAAAUUAGCCUUUGCUCAGGGCUUGCCAGAUUUUUGACUAGGCCAAAACGUUGCUUGGUGGCUAUGUAUAAUUCUAUCUAUAGUUUUGCAAAACGAGCAGUUUUUCCUAUGGUGUCAUCAUAGGAUCCGCGGUUAUCAUUCUGAAACCUACGCUAGUUAUUAUGGAUAUGUCCUCAGAUUUUACUGCAGUGUAGCGAGUAAAUGAUCUGAUGGAAUAAUGAUAUCAAAACUUUGUGACCCUUAUUGUUGUCGCUAAGCCUAUGUUCCCAUUUACAGAUUUGGGUGUGAUCCUGAGGUUUUAGGAUGUUCUUAUCAUCUUAUGACUGUCAGUUGGAGAAUUCUGGUAUAUUUUUCUUUGCGGAUUGGUAUAUAGAGACUAAAAAAAAUAGUUCUUUAUUUCUUUUUGCCGCCAGGAAGUUUUCCUUUCUGGCGAUGUUUAUUCAUGACAAUGUCAAUUGAGUUUGACUAGCAGAUAUGCCGUUGCAACGGGAGAUAAAAUACUAUGCAUUUAAAGUCAGCAAGAAUUAUAUGUGCAAGCAAAACCCUGUGCACAUGAAAAAACAUUUAGUUUCUCGGUUUUGCUGUGUGUGAAGAAAUCAAUUUGCUAUUUUUUCGUUAAUUGAUCGAGGACAUUUAAGAGUUUUGUUACGUCAUUGUAGGCCAGACAAAGGCUCAUGAGUUAUUCAAUCUACUUUUCCUUUCAAUCGAGAGAAUUUGAAGGUACGAAGUUUCUGAAUAUUCUAGGGAACAUGAACACUUUUUUAAAUCUUGAACAGUUUUUUAAAAUUAUGUAUACUUCCAAAAAACAUGAACAAAAUAUGAAAAAUAACAUUUUUUAAAAUUCACAAACAUUUUAUGAAUACACUAACAUUUUUUAUAAAAAACAUGAACAUUAUUUCAAUUUGUGAACCUUUUUUAAAAUGGGAACAUGUGUUGAAAAUUCAUAAGAUUUUUAGAAAACGUGUAUCUUUUAUACAUGAUUAUUAUUUUUAAUUUUGAAAAUUUCACUAAAACAUGAAUAAUUUUCAAAUUUGUAGCACUUUUUGAUAUGCAAUUUUAUUUUCUAUAAAUCUCUAAUAAUUCUGAAAAGAAAUAAAAGAUUAAAACAUGAGCAACUUUUUGUCAAGUUCCGACUAUUUUUAAAAAUAGCAAAAAAAUGGAAUUCUGAACAUUUUUCCAAAAAAAUACUAAAUGUUUUUUGAGAAUUUUUAAUUUACGAAAAAAAUUUCGAAAAAAAUCACCUUGAAAAGGAAAAAAGAGUUAGGGAAAGGAGGAUAAAAAUAGAAGUAAAACACAUAAAAAAAAU
rnacentral:lncRNA from 1 species